UAAUACCUGCGCACGCUUAACAUGCAAGUCCCACGGUAACAGGGAGAAGCUUGCUUCUUUGCCGACGAGUGGCGGACGGGUGAGUAAUGCUUGGGAAUCUGUCUUACGGAGGGGGAUAACCACGGGAAACUGUGGCUAAUACCGCGUAAUGUCUAAGGACUAAAGGGUGGGAUCUUCGGACCACCUGCCAUAGGAUGAGCCCAAGUGGGAUUAGCUGGUUGGUGAGGUAAAGGCUUACCAAGGCGACGAUCUCUAGCUGGUCUGAGAGGAUGACCAGCCACACCGGGACUGAGACACGGCCCGGACUCCUACGGGAGGCAGCAGUGGGGAAUAUUGCGCAAUGGGGGGAACCAUGACGCAGCCAUGCCGCGUGAAUGAAGAAGGCCUUCGGGUUGUAAAGUUCUUUCAGUGGUGAGGAAGGCGGAUAAGUUAAUAGCUUAUUUGAUUGACGUUAGCCACAGAAGAAGCACCGGCAAACCUCCGUGCCCAGCAGCCGCGGUAAU
rnacentral:rRNA from 1 species